AUUGAACGAUGGCGGCAGGCCUAACACAUGCAAGUCGGGCGAGCGGAGCACGGGUGAGUGAAGUAUGGGGAUCUGCCUGAUGGAGGGGGAUAACGACUGGAAACGGUAGUUAAUACCGCAUAACAUCAGAUGAUACCAAAGGGGAUAAGCUUGUAGGUAAGGUAACGGCUUACCUAGGCGACGAUCCCUAGCUGGUCUGAGAGGAUGAUCAGCCACCCUGGGACUGAGACACGGCCCAGACUCCUACGGGAGGCAGCAGUGGGGAAUAUUGCACAAUGGGCGCAAGCCUGAUGCAGCCAUGCCGCGUGUAUGAAGAAGGCUUUCGGGUUGUAAAGUACUUUCAGUCGGGAGGCGUUACCGACAGAAGAAGCACCGGCUAACUCCGUGCCAGCAGCCGCGGUAAUUC
rnacentral:rRNA from 1 species